CCUCUCCCUGAGGCCUUUCCUGAUGACGCCCGACCCUGCAGACCUCUACUACGUAGUGUGAUACAACCAAGCUCACCGCUCAACGAGGAUGGCGGCAGGAGGUUCAUGGGGUCUGAACUGGAGGUGACCGACCAGGAAGGAGACCUUGGGGUCAUAGAGGAUGGCUCAAUGAAGAUGCCAACCCAGUGUGCAGCAGCUGUGAAAAAGGCAAAUUCCAUGCUAAGGAUCAUCCGGAAAGGAAUUGCUGGAGGUGGUUUUCAAGGAAGAAGAUCCUGAGUAGGUGAACUUGGGAGGAGUAUGCAUGACUUCAUCAGCAAGGAAGCAGAAAAGAUGAAUAAAACCUCUUGAAGCAGCUUAUACAAGGGGAGAAAAAUUCAUUUUCUGCCUUGUCACAAGAACUUGGAGGAAGCUGAGUGCUCAGUUUUAUCACUCACCUUUUUGCAAUAAAACUAAAACUAAACUGGCAUCACUAAUUUAGUAGAAGAGGCUUCUCUUCGACAUUACACGGAGCUGG